CCUGGUCCUAGAGGCAUGGCAGGUGUGUCACAUUGUGUUUCAGUAAAUGAGAGGUGCUUCAGAGAGGAGAGAGGCUAUGUCUACACUCACUGUUCUGACAUGUGAACAUCUGAAUGAUUAGUACCCUAACAUU